rnacentral:rRNA from 1 species
AGUGAACGCUGGCGGCAGGCCUAACACAUGCAAGUCGAACGGCAGCACAAGAGAGCUUGCUCUCUGGGUGGCGAGUGGCGGCCGGGUGAGGAAUGCAUCGGAAUCUGCCCAUUUGUGGGGGAUAACCUCGGGAAACCGGGACUAAUACCGCAUACGACCUACGGGUGAAAGCAGGGGAUCUUCGGACCUUGCGCAGAUGGAUGAGCCGAUGCCUGAUUAGCUAGUUGGAGGGGUAAAGGCCCACCAAGGCGACGAUCCGUAGCUGGUCUGAGAGGAUGAUCAGCCAGACUGGGACUGAGAAACGGCCCAGACUCCUGCGGGAGGCAGCAGUGGGGAAUAUUGGACAAUGGGCGCAAGCCUGAUCCAGCCAUGCCGCGUGUGUGAAGAAGGCCUUCGGGUUGUAAAGCACUUUUGUUGGGAAAGAAAAGCAGCCGGUUAAUACCCGGUUGUCAUGACGGUACCCAAAGAAUAAGCACCGGCUAGCUUCGUG